GUGCCAGCAGCCGCGGUAAUACGUAGGUGGCAAGCGUUAUCCGGAAUUAUUGGGCGUAAAGCGCGCGUAGGCGGUUUUUUAAGUCUGAUGUGAAAGCCCACGGCUCAACCGUGGAGGGUCAUUGGAAACUGGAAAACUUGAGUGCAGAAGAGGAAAGUGGAAUUCCAUGCGUAGCGGUGAAAUGCGCAGAGAUAUGGAGGAACACCAGUGGCGAAGGCGACUUUCUGGUCUGUAACUGACGCUGAUGUGCGAAAGCGUGGGGAUCAAACAGGAUUAGAUA
rnacentral:rRNA from 1 species